UACGAAGGGGGCUAGCGUUGUUCGGAAUUACUGGGCGUAAAGCGCGCGCAGGCGGUCUUCCAAGUCAGUAGUGAAAGCCCGGAGCUCAACUCCGGAAUUGCCAUUGAAACUGUGAGACUGGAGUACGAGAGAGGUGAGUGGAAUUCCCAGUGUAGAGGUGAAAUUCGUAGAUAUUGGGAAGAACACCGGUGGCGAAGGCGGCUCACUGGCUCGUAACUGACGCUCAGGCGCGACAGCGUGGGGAUCAAACAGG
rnacentral:rRNA from 1 species